AAAUUGACACCGUAACUUCGGGAGAAGGUGUGCCGCUGGCGGUUAGUGACUUCGCGUCACGAAGCUGUCGGUGGUCGCAGUGAAAUGGCGGUUGUGACUGUUUACUAAAAACACAGGACUCUGCGAAGUCGUAAGACGACGUAUAGGGUCUGAUGCCUGCCCGGUGCUGGAAGGUUAAGGGGAUAUGUCAGCGCAAGCGAAGCAUUGAACCGAAGCCCCAGUAAACGGCGGCCGUAACUAUAACGGUCCUAAGGUAGCGAAAUUCCUUGUCGGGUAAGUUCCGACCUGCACGAGGGCAUAACAACAUCCGCACUGUCUCGACCAGGGACUCAGCGAAAUUACAUUGGGGGUGAAGAUGCCCUCUACCCGCGGAAAGACGGAAAGACCCCAUGAACCUUUACUGCAACUUGGCAGUGAUUUUCGGGUUGUUCUGCGUAGGAUAGGUGGGAGGCUUUGAAGCCGGGCUUCCGGGUUCGGCAGAGCCAACGUUGAAAUACCACCCUGAAUAAUCUGGAAAUCUAACCUGCGCCCAUGAUCUGGGCGAGGGACACUGCCUGGUGGGCAGUUUGACUGGGGCGGUCGCCUCCUAAAUUGUAACGGAGGCGUGCGACGGUUCCCUCAGGCUGAUUGGAAACCAGCCGUAGAGUGCAAACGCAUAAGGGAGCUUUACUGCGAGACUGACAAGUCGAACAGUUGCGAAAGCAGGUGUUAGUGAUCCGGUGGUACCACAUGGAAGGGCCAUCGCUCAUCGGAUAAAAGGUACUCUGGGGAUAACAGGCUGAUCGCGCCUGAGAGUUCACAUCGGCGGCGCGGUUUGGCACCUCGAUGUCGGCUCAUCGCAUCCUGGGGCUGGAGCAGGUCCCAAGGGUUUGGCUGUUCGCCAAUUAAAGCGGUAUACGAGCUGGGUUUAAAACGUCGUGAGACAGUUUGGUCCCUAUCUUCCGUGGGCGCAGGACACUUGAGAGGAGCUAUCCAUAGUACGAGAGGACCUGGAUGGACGAACCUCUGGUGCUCCGCUUGUCACGCCAGUGGCAUAGCCGGGUAGCCAUGUUCGGAACAGAUAACCGCUGAAGGCAUAUAAGCGGGAAGCUGGCCUCAAGACUAGGUGUCCCUGACGCAAGUCACUAAAGGCCCCUCGAAGACUACGAGGUUGAUAGGCUCGGUGUGGAAGCGCUGCGAGGCGUGGAGCUAACGAGUACUAAUAGGCCGUGCGACUUGACCUC
rnacentral:rRNA from 1 species